UGUGUCAUUAAUUUCAGGGACUUCGAUCAAAAAUUGAAAACCAACAAGGUUUCAAUCAAAGAAUAUUCAUAACUAGGGACUUUGGAUGCGGUCCCUAGGCACCAAUAUUUCUUAAUUAAAACUUUAUUCAUUUUUAGUUUUAUAUCAUAGUCAUUUAGUUUUUCAUACCUUAGCAUAUUAGUAUUAAUAUAUUCUCAUACCAACAAUUAACCUUGUGUUUGGACCCGAUUUUACAAUAUCGGCCCGAGCAAUCGAGGUCGUUGAAUGAGCAGGUUCUAAACUGUUGGAUUUCAUAUUUUUCUAGAUAUUACAAUUGGAUUUUCGUAGUAAUUAUCUUAUGAAAUAUAUUGUUGGAAGCAAAGGAGAUCAUUUUCAGUUCGAAUUGCUACACUUACAUGAUGAUUGGUUUGAAAGCUAACAUGGCAGGUUAAGAGACUAUUUUGCAUAAGAUAAUUAGCAUUUAGAAAAGGAGAUAAAGAUGGCAAAGGUUGAUAAGGGCAUAAUUUGCUCGGAACCAAACCAUGCAUGCAGGUUAUCUCGGUAAUUGUGAUAUCUGAUGAUUACCAAAAGAUAAUUGGAAUGGCGAUGUGGUGUGAUCAUAUGGGUUUUGAAGAGAUAAGAAUUGGUAAGGAAUGAAAGAAUAUUCUUUUGUUUUCCUAUUUGAUCAAAACAACAAUGUGCAUGCAAAUUGAAUGUUUGUCAGAUAAAAGAAUAAAGAAAUAAAGAUGAGAAUAAAUAGUCAAAGGAUGAGGUUGCAUGCAGACGUGUGGGUCUAAGUCUGAGAUGAUGCGAUUUCAUUGGUGCAUGAGGUUCCAGGAAAGUUUUGAAGCUUUAAUCACGUGGAAGGCUUUAUAGUUUUGAAAUUUUCAACAUUAUCUUUAAGAAAUUGGGAGAUAUAUGCCUCGAAUUAUCUUGGAGAAAGUGGAUGGCAGAGAGAUAUGACGGGCAUAACUUGAGAUAAAGUUUGAAUACAGGAUGAUGUUCCCUAUUGUUGGAUUGUUUAUUGGACUCUACAAACACCAUCAGGCCGUGCCAAGCAGAUAUCCAACCUUAUAAAUACAGGACUCGGUGUAUCGUUCAAAACCUCUCCAAUUCAACACACAAAGUUUCUCAACAACCUUUGAGAUUUUAUUCUCUCCUCCUUUCUUUUCACCAACACAUCUUCAGUUUAGAUAAACAGCACUGUGAAUGCAACUGGCGACAUCUUCAGUUUGGAUAAACAGCAUUGGAGCCGUAGAAUCAGCCGAUCAAUAAGCACUUUCAGUUUGGAUAAACAACACU
rnacentral:lncRNA from 1 species